UAACUUUGAAGAAUAUUUUAAAUGAGGUCGAUUGAAGAUUACUUGAAGUACUUUUGCUUGUUGAUUGGUUAAUCCAAGAGGAAAAUAAUAUGAGUUGGUGUCCAAAGUAGAAGAAGCCAUGAAGGGGAAGCAGCAGCAGCAGCCUCCUCCACAGCAGCAGUUGCAGAUUCAAAUAAUGCAGUGCAACAAAGGAAAAUCAAGCAAGUUCAAGAGAAGCAGUAAAUGGAAAUUCCCCUAUCAGAUCAUUAACGGCUACCAACUACUACAAAGUUUACAAAUAUGCAUGAUAUGUCAAUAGAAUGUGAAUUCUGCAACUGGUACUUGAACUCGGAAUUAAGCUCUUGGAUUUAUCAAAAUUGAGUGCACUAAGUUAAGACUCUGUGAGUUUCUGUGUAUCUGUUAGAGGUUUCCAACUACUACAAAGUUUACAACUCCUUUGGAUUUCUAUUGAUUGCUGCUCCAAUUGGAGAGGGCUUAGUUAUGGAUUUUCCUUGUGGAUCUUUCAGGAUUUGAUGUAACUAGGACAUUGCUCUUUUUGCUUUUUGGUAUAAUCAGGAAGUUGCCUUUGGUUGGAUUUUUCUUUUUGAUGUAAACAGUUGUUAAUUGUGUUAAAUGCUUUAACAAACAGAGUUUUUGUAAAUGGAUUUUUUUCUCAUUAAAAUGUAGUGGAUAUAUCAUAGAUGCAAA